CCAGACUCCUACGGGAGGCAGCAGUGGGGAAUAUUGCACAAUGGGGGGAACCCUGAUGCAGCGACGCCGCGUGAGUGAAGAAGUAUUUCGGUAUGUAAAGCUCUGUCAGCAGGGAAGAAGAAAGACGGUACCUGACCAAGAAGCCCCGGCUAACUACGUGCCAGCAGCCGCGGUAAUACGUAGGGGGCAAGCGUUAUCCGGAAUUACUGGGUGUAAAGGGAGCGUAGACGGUUAAGCAAGUCUGGAGUGAAAGGCGGGGGCCCAACCCCCGGACUGCUCUGGAAACUGUGUAACUAGAGUGCAGGAGAGGUAAGCGGAAUUCCUAGUGUAGCGGUGAAAUGCGUAGAUAUUAGGAGGAACACCAGUGGCGAAGGCGGCUUACUGGACUGUAACUGACGUUGAGGCUCGAAAGCGUGGGGAGCAAACAGGAUUAGAUACCCCCGUAACA
rnacentral:rRNA from 1 species